GAUGAACGCUAGCGGCAGGCUUAACACAUGCAAGUCGAGGGGCAUCGAGAGAGUAGCAAUACUUUUGUCGGCGACCGGCGGACGGGUGCGUAACGCGUAUGCAACCUACCUUAUACAGGGGGAUAACCUUUCGAAAGGGAGACUAAUACCGCAUAACAUUACUUUGAGGCAUCUUGAGGUAAUUAAAUCUUCGGAGGUAUAAGAUGGGCAUGCGUAGCAUUAGCUAGAUGGUGCGGUAACGGCGUACCAUGGCGACGAUGCUUAGGGGUUCUGAGAGGAAGGUCCCCCACACUGGUACUGAGAUACGGACCAGACUCCUACGGGAGGCAGCAGUGAGGAAUAUUGGGCAAUGGGCGAAAGCUUGACCCAGCAACGCCGCGUGAGUGAAGAAGUAUUUCGGUAUGUAAAGCUCUAUCAGCAGGGAAGAUAAUGACGGUACCUGACUAAGAAGCCCCGGCUAACUACGUG
rnacentral:rRNA from 1 species